GACGAACGCUGGCGGUGUGCUUAACACAUGCAAGUCGAACGGAAAGGCCCUUCGGGGUACUCGAGUGGCGAACGGGUGAGUAACACGUGGGUGAUCUGCCCUGCACUUUGGGAUAAGCCUGGGAAACUGGGUCUAAUACCGAAUAUGACCGCGCACUUCCUGGUGUGUGGUGGAAAGCUUUUGCGGUGUGGGAUGGGCCCGCGGCCUAUCAGCUUGUUGGUGGGGUAAUGGCCUACCAAGGCGACGACGGGUAGCCGGCCUGAGAGGGUGACCGGCCACACUGGGACUGAGAUACGGCCCAGACUCCUACGGGAGGCAGCAGUGGGGAAUAUUGCACAAUGGGCGCAAGCCUGAUGCAGCGACGCCGCGUGAGGGAUGACGGCCUUCGGGUUGUAAACCUCUUUCAAUAGGGACGAAGCGCAAGUGACGGUACCUAUAGAAGAAGGACCGGCCAACUACGUGCCAGCAGCCGCGGUAAUACGUAGGGUCCGAGCGUUGUCCGGAAUUACUGGGCGUAAAGAGCUCGUAGGUGGUUUGUCGCGUUGUUCGUGAAAACUCACAGCUUAACUGUGGGCGUGCGGGCGAUACGGGCAGACUAGAGUACUGCAGGGGAGACUGGAAUUCCUGGU
rnacentral:rRNA from 1 species